rnacentral:rRNA from 1 species
AUACAUGCAAGUCGUACGCACUGGCCCAACUGAUUGAUGGUGCUUGCACCUGAUUGACGAUGGAUCACCAGUGAGUGGCGGACGGGUGAGUAACACGUAGGUAACCUGCCCCGGAGCGGGGGAUAACAUUUGGAAACAGAUGCUAAUACCGCAUAACAACAAAAGCCACAUGGCUUUUGUUUGAAAGAUGGCUUUGGCUAUCACUCUGGGAUGGACCUGCGGUGCAUUAGCUAGUUGGUAAGGUAACGGCUUACCAAGGCGAUGAUGCAUAGCCGAGUUGAGAGACUGAUCGGCCACAAUGGAACUGAGACACGGUCCAUACUCCUAGGGGAGGCAGCAGUAGGGAAUCUUCCACAAUGGGCGCAAGCCUGAUGGAGCAACACCGCGUGAAUGAAGAAGGGUAUGGGGUCGUAAAGCUUUGUGUGUUGGAUGUUGGAAAAGAAUGUGCGUGAGAGUAACUGUUCACGCAGUGACGGUAUCCAACCAGAAAGUCACGGCUAACUACGUGCCAGCAGCCGCGGUAAUACGUAGGUGGCAAGCGUUAUCCGGAUUUAUUGGGCGUAAAGCGAGCGCAGGCGGUUGCUUAGGUCUGAUGUGAAAGUUCGGCUUAACCGAAGAAGUGCAUCGGAAACCGGGCGACUUGAGUGCAGAAGAGGACAGUGGAACUCCAUGUGUAGCGGUGGAAUGCGUAAAUAUAUGGAAGAACACCAGUGGCGAAGGCGGCUGUCUGGUCUGCAACUGACGCUGAGGCUCGAAAGCAUGGGUUAGCGAUGAGGUUGAAAACACAAUGGAACGAACGGGAUUAGAUACCCUGGUAGUUCCCCCGUAAACGAUGAGUGCUAGGUGUUGGACGGUUUCCGCCCUUCAGUGCCGGAGCUAACGCAUUAAGCACUCCGCCUGGGGAGUACGACCGCAAGGUUGAAACUCAAAGGAAUUGACGGGGGCCCGCACAAGCGGUGGAGCAUGUGGUUUAAUUCGAAGCUACGCGAAGAACCUUACCAGGUCUUGACAUCUUGCGCUAACCUUAGAGAUAAGGCGUUCCCUUCGGGGACGCAAUGACAGGUGGUGCAUGGUCGUCGUCAGCUCGUGUCGUGAGAUGUUGGGUUAAGUCCCGCAACGAGCGCAACCCUUGUUACUAGUUGCCAGCAUUAAGUUGGGCACUCUAGUGAGACUGCCGGUGACAAACCGGAGGAAGGUGGGGACGACGUCAGAUCAUCAUGCCCCUUAUGACCUGGGCUACACACGUGCUACAAUGGACGGUACAACGAGUCGCAAGCUCGCGAGAGUAAGCUAAUCUCUUAAAGCCGUUCUCAGUUCGGACUGUAGGCUGCAACUCGCCUACACGAAGUCGGAAUCGCUAGUAAUCGCGGAUCAGCAUGCCGCGGUGAAUACGUUCCCGGGCCUUGUACACACCGCCCGUCACACCAUGGGAGUUUGUAACGCCCAAAGUCGGUGGCCUAACCUUUAUGGAGGGAGCCGCCUAAGGCGGGACAGAUGACUGGGGUGAAGUCGUAAC